rnacentral:misc_RNA from 1 species
AACGCAACUGGCGCCGGCUUACCGGCAUGCCUGCUUCAGUGUGCUAGGGGAGUAAACUAUCACUAUAAAAUCUAAUGCGAUUGAGGCACAUUUAUGUUCUCCUUUCGCUAAAUCUGAAGGUGUGAAAGAUGAGUAAUCUCUCACGCUGGCAAACGAAGUAGUCAUGCUUGUUCGUGAUCUCGAUUAAGCAUUGCUAAAGGCUUUUGCUUAGCUAUAGACCACAGCUAAUCAAUUAAAAAUCUUAAAAAUGUGCAUCUGGAAUCAGGCAGGGAUACCCGCUGAACUUAA